AGUUCCUGAGUUUCGGAUCCUCAUCAUGUCGGAGACUGCUCCUGCCGCCCCCGCUGCCGCUCCCCCUGCGGAGAAGGCGCCGGCGAAGAAGAAGGCUGCCAAGAAGCCGGCCGGGGCUCGCCGCAAGGCGUCCGGGCCCCCGGUGUCCGAGCUCAUCACCAAGGCUGUAGCCGCCUCCAAGGAGCGCAGCGGCGUGUCCCUGGCCGCGCUCAAAAAGGCGCUGGCGGCCGCCGGCUACGAUGUGGAGAAGAACAACAGCCGCAUCAAGCUGGGGCUCAAGAGCCUGGUGAGCAAGGGCACCCUGGUGCAGACCAAGGGCACCGGCGCCUCCGGCUCCUUCAAGCUCAACAAGAAGGCGGCUUCCGGCGAGGCCAAGCCCAAAGCCAAGAAGGCAGGCGCGGCCAAGGCCAAGAAGCCCGCGGGCGCAGCCAAGAAGCCCAAGAAGGCGACUGGUGCUGCCACACCCAAGAAAGCCGCCAAGAAGACCCCCAAGAAGGCGAAGAAGCCCGCGGCGGCUGCCGUGACCAAGAAAGUGGCCAAGAGUCCAAAGAAGGCUAAGGUCGCCAAGCCCAAGAAGGUCAAGAGCGCGUCUAAGGCCGUGAAACCGAAGGCUGCCAAGCCCAAGGUUGCUAAGCCCAAGAAGGUUGCGGCCAAGAAGAAGUAGGCUUGUCUUCCUCCUUCAACCCAAAAGGCUCUUUUCAGAGCCACCACUCCCACUUGGAAGAGCUGUGACAUUGUUGGUGUAAAAGCUCCCUCCUUCCACCUUGCUUUCUGCAGAAGUGGGUUGCGUGGGGUGCAAUCCAGCCGGCGCUCCGUAGGAUGGGGUUCCCUAGCUCCUCUAGAACGGUGCUUUUGCGGGCGGCCGAGGAAGGGCUAGGUGCCGGCUGCACCCUUCCACGGCUGUCAGCAGCAAGGAGCAGCCCCGGGCGCCAGUCAGUGUUGGGCUGCUAGGUGAUUUGAAAGUUCCGCCCUGCUUGCGGGUUGGCUCACUCCCGCCCCGGGCCUUAGUCCUCGGUUUGAUUGGGCGCCAGUCGCUCUUGCGUUCUCCCGAAGCCGCAUCCCGCGCUCUUUGCUGGGGUGGCUUAAGUGCUGAGUCUUCUGGGGGGUGUUUGUGCCUCCAAGGGUGGAGGAGGUCGGGUGCCGGCGCCGCGGAUCUGACUUCCUUUAAAGACCUUUCAGCGAUAGCUGCGCAAGGGGUCCGCCCGCCCACUUAAAUGCCGGACCUGGGACUGGUUUUCUCCUACUUUCGGUUUGCUGGCUACAGCAAGGGAAUGGUGGCUCGAACUGCGUCACAACCUUGGGUCUCAUUUUAGAUUGUCCUCGAAUCCGCAUUGCCUCAGCUUCCCGAAGUGCUUAAGUUAGAGAAGCGUGUCGACUGCAAAGACCGACCUCGCACACAAACUGAGGCUUCUUGCUAUGCUUUGUGCAGUCCGAAAUAUUUAAGAAAAGAGUAAAUUACUGGCUAUCUGUUGAAGGUGUAUUCUUCUAAUAAAAAGCCUUUAAUUUUCA